rnacentral:lncRNA from 1 species
CUCUGCUUCCCUUUCUGCAGAUGCUCAGCUGAGCCAGUGCAGCUGGCUCCCUGACAAAUGUGGAAAAAUCAGCCAAUUUGAGCUGGUUGUUAGCAGCCCGGGCACGGAGGCUCACAGAAAUGAGGGGCUGCCUCAGGUGUGGCAGGAGAUCUUCUGGAGGAGGAAGUGCACUGCCCGCAGGAUCUCAGCCACGCCCCCUUCUAUAUCUGGGCUCUGGGUUCUGAGGAAGGUGCCCUUCCAAGAGAGAUCCCCUUUCUUGGUUCCUUCGCCCCCCUCUCCAACUUGAUAAGCUCUCCAUCAGCCUGAUGGGGUUUCAUCUUGCUCUCCUAGCGAAACACCUGCAGAAUAAGAACUCUGGUCCUCAAGUGUCUGAGUACACAUCUGAUGGCCCAAUUCAAGGCCUCAGAAGACGGAUGUGUAUUACUUUUCAGGUCACCGCAUCCAACCCAAGUCAGUGGACACACCCCCUGGCAGUACACCCUUGUGGUUUCCCCACAAGACAGCAAAGGCUGCUGCUCUGUAAAUGUUCAUAAGACCAAAGAGUGUGCCACACACAUUUCUGUACAUUGUUAUGUCCACACGCAGAGUACAAACAUGAAAAAAGGAGCCUCCAUCCGGCCAUUCAGCUAAUACUUUACACGGAGUUCAGGGUAAAGAGAGUUUUCCUGUAAGGAGCUGUCCAUGUUCCUUAUUAAACUGUCCACUUUUUCUGUGAUUCCUGUUUAGGGGUUAUUUGCUAAUUAAAUAAAAAGACACAAAUGAGCAACUAAGAUAUUGAAAGAAGGGCUGACAUAAGGGAUGUUUCUAAGAGGACAGAAAUGUUCCAGAUCUUAUUUGAGGGGUGGUUUUAUGAGUGUAUACAAUUGUCAAAACUCAUCAAACUGGAUACUUCAGAUUUGUGCAAUUUGUUUUGAUGUCCCCUAUGGCAUGCACACGUUCCUGGGCCUAGGACUGAACUUGCACCAUGGCAGAGACCUGAGCCACAGCAGGGAUAAUGCUAGAUCUUUAACCCGCUAGGCUACCAUCUGUGGAUUUCAUCUUCAUUACAUCUGCAUAAAAACUUAAAAUGUAAAAUUCAUCUUUUAGUAACAACCAUUGUGUCUACAUAGGUCAUCUCUACCAGCAUGCUGAAGCAGCUGCUACUGUAAAAAUGCACAGGAGAAACAUCAGUUACUCUUUACAUAAUGGAAUACUUUCCAAAGAACUGAAACUAAUUCCUAUAGGAUCCUCAAAUACAUUUUAACAGCUUGUAAAAAUCCACAGUAGCCUAGAAUGAUGUUUUUGGAGGGAGAGAUGAUAAUGUUAUAUGUUACAUAUGAGUUGACUGGUUAUUGCUAUUCUUAUAUAGUAGGUGCUUGACUUAGUGUCAAAAGCCUUGAUGUGGGGAGUCUGGGCAGACAGUAUGGAAGGGAGGGCAACAAAGUUGGUUUGCUUGAACCAUACUGAUUUGCAGGUGAAAUGAUAACAUCUGUUCAAUUCAGGAAUAAAAUGAGAGAAAUUUAAGAGGUGAAAAAGCAUUGGAUUAUACAGUCUAAUUCCCUCAUUAUAUCAACAGAAAAACUGAAGCUCAGAGAAGGAAAGCAAUUUUCCCAAGAAUACAUAGCCAUUUUCUGCCAAACAUGGCUCUCCUGGCUCUCAAGUUUGUUUCUCCUUCCAGUUUUUCAUUACUCAUUUUAAAUUUCCCUUUGUGGCUCAGUGGUAAUGAGCCCAACUAGCAUCCACGAGGACUCUGGUUCAAUCCCUGGCCUCGCUCAGUGUGUUAAGGAUCCAGCAUUGCUGUGAGCUGUGGUGUACAUUCCACAAAUGCAGCUCAGAUCCCACAUUGCUGUGGCUGUGGUGUAGGCCGGCAGCUACAGCUCCAAUUUCACCCUUAGCCUAGGAACUUCCAUAUGCUGUGGGGGCAGCCCUAAAAACCAACCAACCAACCAACCAACCAACAAACAAAAAACUAAGCCAGUCUAGGGUUAUACUCAGUUCUGCAUGUUUCUGUUCAUAUAAAGUAUCGCUGUAUAUCUUCUCUAUAAUAGUUACAGCUUUUAGGAACUCUACUUCAUGUUUGCUGAUAUCCCAUUCCUAGAAUAAAGGUUCUCAAAGGCAGUUUUAUCAUCCCAAACCCUCGUUUUCUCCUGUUUGGACCUCAGCGUUUCCUUUAACUUUGUUUCCCUGAUUGCCAAGUUAUCCUUUUCUCUGUAGCUCUAAGAAUUGCCAAUGAUAAGGUAAAAGAACCAUAAUCUCAUGAAAACCAAUGACUAUGUUUAACAAUAAUAAUAAUAAUAAUAAACAUACUCUUGGCCACUGUUCCUGGAGAGAUUGAGCCACAGUGAACAGAGGCUGACAGGAUGUUCAGGUCCCCAGCAGCCACACUGAAGGUGAGUGACUUACUGCCCACACACAGAACUGAACCCACUCGAGAGACAGUGGCUGUUUGCGGGACCCAGAACCCAAUGACCAACCAUACUAGAUCCUUUAUUUAUUUAUUUAUUUAUUUAUUUAUUUUGUCUUUUUGCCUUUUCUAGGGCCACUCCCGAGGUAUAUGGAGGUUCCCAGGCUAGGGGUCUAAUCGGAGCCGUAGCCACUGGCCUACACCAGAGCCACAGCAACAUGGGAUCCGAGCCGCACCUGCAACCCACACCACAACCUCACGGCAAUGCCAGAUCCUUACCCCACUGAGCGAGGCCAGGGACCGAACCCGCAACCUCAUGGUUCCUAGUUGGAUUCAUUAACCACUGAGCCACGAUGGGAACUCCACUACAUCUUAUUAUUGUUGACAGCAGCCCAGAGCUAGAAGGGAGCUGAAUCAUCAUCAAACGUGAUGGUUCUCAAGCAGAUUUUAGUUUUGUUUUUACUUUUAAGCAGAAUUUAUUUUAAAAUUAAAUCUUAUAUGCACUCUUGGCAUAGCAAACAAAAUUGGGGAAAACUGCUUGCUGGACAGUUACAAAUCCCCAAAAUUUGAUGAAAGGAUUCACCCCAUUGCUUGUGCAGCCUGAAAACUCUGCUCAGGGAGGCUUCUUGGGUACACUUGACUAUAGGGAUUCUUCUUGGUGACGGGGAGCUGACUACUGCUAAGGUUCACCCCACUACUGGCAGCCCAGAUUCUUAAGGGGUUUCUUCCCAACACAUAGCUGCAGUCUUUCCCCAGGGAGCUCAUACUCAUGGAUAUACUCUUGAAACCAAAUUUUUAAAAAUCCCCACUUCACAUGGAAAAAAUCUUCAUAUAUUCGAAAGGAGCAAGCAUGGUGUAUUUAGACACGCUCUUCAUUAUAUGAUGGGCUGUGUACACACCUGCCCUCUCACACAGUGGUUCAACCUUAAACCGGCUCUGCUCCGUACCCCUCCUACCCCGGCUUCCUGUACAUGUGUAGCCUGGGGGGCUAAGGCUUCCAAAGGACCCAUGGGGCCUUGGUGCUUGUGGGCAAGAAGAGAAGGAAGGGAUUUUGCUGCUGGGUUCUCAUUUUUUUUUUCUACUAGCUUCAAAGCAGACUCCACCCUUCCUGAAUAGAGGACCAUGAAGACUGGCUUGUGGCCAUUUCGAAUUACAUCAGAUUCUGGGGGCAAAUUUGAAACAGACUUGACAUGUUAAAAGAACACGAAAACAGCUGAAUUGCAGGCAAAAAAAUUAAUCUGCUCCUCAUCCCUCCUCCAAAGGCCUCCUGGCAGUGAGAGCUACUUUGAGGCUGCGAGCAAGACUUCCUGUACAGUCACGUUCAAUGCUUAGAGCCGAUCAACAGCUGGAAAGGCAAACUGUUUUUUAGCGUGAAUAUUUCACAGUUCAAAUCACUUAACAGAUGUAAAAUUAUAGGAUAUACUUAGCAUUUAGGGGUUUUUUUAUUAUUAGCUAAAGAAGAUCUUUUGGGAAGACACUUUUGAUGUUUAGUCCUUCUUGAUGACGGUGGCAAGAAUUUUUUAAAUGUUCUUUAUCCUCAAGAAACAUGUUUAAUCAUUAGAGUUGACCAUACUUUCAUCAGCUUACCAUGUGGUUUAUACAGGUUUACCUAAGAUUAACUGGACAUUUUAAGGCACUCCAUACACAAAUACUGAGAGUGAAUGCAGAAUGUCCUGUAGACCAGCCAACUAGUGUAAAGGAUGAGAGGGUUUAAAUGAUGUCAGGCGUAAAGUGAACAUCCCAUCAGCAUAACUAUUAACCAUGCGCUGAGAGAAGCCUGAGGUUCUAGAGAUGCCCAGGGUCGAGGGCUCAGAGGCAAGGAGGGCGUGUGCAGGACAGUGGUCAGGACAGCAGGUGGAGGCCCUGGCUGGCAGUGCCCUUCAAGGAGGGGCAGAGGGAGUGGAGGGGAUUUACACAGGAGGCCCAGAGCUGCUACCUAUUCGGGAAAGUCAGGUGAGGACAGGUUCGUGGACGUAGGGUGGCUUCGACUGCAGAAGAAAAGACAAAGGGCAACAUGAUGACUAUGAUCAUGGAUGUGACUGACUUUCUUAAGAGACAUUUGGGAAACUAAGUGAGAGCGAGAAAUACUAUGAUCAUGGGCAUGGGGGGAGGGAGAAGCCAGCCGAGAGGGAAGAGAUCAGCCAGGGAACGAGGAGGCCUGCGUGGACCCACUGGUCCCCGACAAGCCAAGACACCAGGAAUAAACAUCUUACCCACUGCAGGCCUCAGUUUCCUCAACUGUAGGGUGUGAAGGUGGCCGCAGAGGAGUUCUAAGAUUCCUCCCAGCUCAAGAGAAUGUUUUCAUUAAAAAGUAAACUAAAAAAGUAAAACCAGAACAUUUUCUCUUACAUGAGGUUAAUCAAGAGUACCAAGUAGGUUGCUGAGGAUGCUUCAUUUUCCAUCUCCUUCCUCAAGAACAAUCUGUCCACCCUAAUGGUUUCUUGAAGGUCCUUCCAACAUUCUGGUGCUGGCCUGCCUUUCCCCCCACUUGCUGGCCCAUCACUCCAUCAGUCACUGCUGGAACAGAGAGAUACUUCCUAACCCAUGGUCUGUUGGAGGAACUGAUGCUUUUGAAAAAUGAAUGCCAAAUCCUUGUGGGAAGGGAAGAGUGUGCUAUAGAAAGGUCAUUAGUAACUCAACUUAGAGCUCAGCUUCCCAUUGGGAAGAGCAACCAACUAAUAAGAGGCCUGCCGCCUGAGCAAGGUAUGGGCUCCAAGAGGCAAGAGCAAGCAUUCGGAGCUGAAAUUUUAGAUCCCAAAGAAAGGCAUGAACACGUGUCAGGUGUUGCUCUGGGCAAGUUGGCUUGUGAUGGAUUUAAUCGUAUGGUGUCCCUGGGGAGAUGGACGUUUAUUAUCUCCACGUCCUAAGUGAGGGAGCUGAAGUUCAGAGAGGUCAAGAAGUCUGCUCCAGAUCACACGAGCACAUUGAGAAGUCACCCUUCCCUCAGCUAUCCACUGAGUGCUGACUGGGUCCUAGACACUGUGGGAUACAGUGGGCCAUGCCACCAUGGCCUCUGCCUUGACAAGAGUUUUCUUUCUAAUGGGGGGAGGGGGGAGCAGCUGUGAACACUCCAGCUAAUGAUGAAGAUAUAUUUGGGAGCAUGAAAUACGACACAAAUAAAACCAGGGAAUAUGACAGAGUGUGACUGAGGGACGAUGUCUAUGCGGCAAAGGGAAAAACAGCUCUUUGAAAAAGUGACAUUUAACCAAGAACAGGAUGACAAAAAGGACCAAGCCAUGCAAAGCUUGGGGCAAGAGUCAGAUCCAGUGAAUGAGAGAAAAGUGCAACGGUUAUAUGACGGAAACAGCAAAUAUCAAACAGUAUGUAGCCAAAAGGGGCAGUCAGUGGACAGGAGAGGCAGCUGGGAAACUGGCUGCUGACUAAUAAGGUCCUCUCACUAGCUGCUGGGCUGUUGAGGUGGGUCAGCUGGUUUCAUUCUUGUCUUUUUUUUUUU